rnacentral:lncRNA from 1 species
AAAAAACAAAUAAAAAAUGGCGGAAGAUGUGGGAGAAGCAGAACAAAGACUCUACAUUUAAAAAAGGAAAACAUUCAUACCAGGGAACAACCAUAACAAAGAUGGACUAAAUCUACAUUUAUAUGCAUAGGCGAGAGCUAGUCAAAAUAAACUUGGAAAAAUGAGCAUAAGAACAGGGAGUAACCCUUCUGGACAGACUCAACACUCAUAACCGAACAUGAAAAAAAA